rnacentral:lncRNA from 13 species
AUGCUGACAAUGCUACAUUACGCCUUAGUAUACAUGGCAUAUCAUACCAGCAGAUGGCUUCCAAGGAAUGAAAGGUUAAAAUUGCCCAAAUCCUCUAGAUACUGCCAGCAGCCUCUUCUGAACAAUCUCACUGCCUUCAUUAUCAUGUCCUUCAUGGCAACAGGUUUUGCAGUAACAUUCACACUGAUAGACCCAGUGCCCCAAAGCUUCAGGGCAGCCUACCAUGGGUUUGGACUUGUAUCUUUUGUCCAGGGACUAUGCACCAUCGCCCUGACUCUGACUGCACAACAGUGUGCGAAAACAACUCCUGAGCUGUACUAUUUGUCCCUUAUUCUAUCAUUGGCUUGUAUCCUGAGUACAGCCUUCUUCUUGGUGAAGGGAGGAUUCUGGGUAAAAACCAAUAGGCUACCCAGGCCUUGCCAGAGAGGGAACAAUGGCUAA